rnacentral:rRNA from 1 species
UCGAGCGGCAUCGAGUAGAGCGCAGUUUACUGAGUUCAUGUCGGCGAGCGGCGGACGGGUGAGUAAAGUCUGGGAAUCUGGCCGAAGGAGGGGGAUAACUGCUGGAAACGGCAGCUAAUACCGCAUGAAGUCGCGAGACCAAAGUGGGGGACCUUCGGGCCUCACGCCUUCGGAUGAGCCCAGAUGAGAUUAGCUGGUAGGUAAGGUAAAGGCUUACCUAGGCGACGAUCUCUAGCGGGUCUGAGAGGAUAGCCCGCCACACUGGAACUGAGACACGGUCCAGACUCCUACGGGAGGCAGCAGUGGGGAAUAUUGCACAAUGGGCGAAAGCCUGAUGCAGCCAUGCCACGUGUGUGAAGAAGGCCUUCGGGUUGUAAAGCACUUUCAGCGAGGAGGAAGCGAUAAAUGCCAAUACCAUUUA